GUCCCGAUGGGGUAGUGGACAUCCCGGAGGCCUGCGGAGCACCCUUGCGCGGACAGCCUUCAACCCGGGUUCGAAUCCCGGUCGGGACGC
rnacentral:tRNA from 2 species